rnacentral:ncRNA from 1 species
CGCACUACUCCACAAACAAUAGGCGUCCCGCCUGAAAAAAAGGAGGAAAGUCCGGCAUCUCCCGGUGCGGCAGUGUGGAGACCUGUCGUAAUGCGGCCCGAAAAGCCGCGAGAGCGCCCCUUGCGGAGGCAGAGCGCCCAGAGACAACACAGCAUGGCA